rnacentral:rRNA from 1 species
GAUUGAGUUUGAUCCUGGCUCAGAUUGAACGCUGGCGGCAUGCCUUACACAUGCAAGUCGAACGGCAGCACGGGGGCAACCCUGGUGGCGAGUGGCGAACGGGUGAGUAAUGCAUCGGAACGUGCCCAGUAGUGGGGGAUAGCCCGGCGAAAGCCGGAUUAAUACCGCAUACGUACUGAGGUAGAAAGCGGGGGACCGUAAGGCCUCGCGCUAUUGGAGCGGCCGAUGUCGGAUCAGCUUGUUGGUGGGGUAAUGGCCUACCAAGGCGACGAUCCGUACCUGGUCUGAGAGGACGACCAGGCACACUGGGACUGAGACACGGCCCAGACUCCUACGGGAGGCAGCAGUGGGGAAUUUUGGACAAUGGGCGAAAGCCUGAUCCAGCAAUGCCGCGUGUGUGAAGAAGGCCUUCGGGUUGUAAAGCACUUUUGUCCGGAAAGAAAUCCGUCUGGCUAAUACCCGGACGGGAUGACGGUACCGGAAGAAUAAGCACCGGCUAACUACGUGCCAGCAGCCGCGGUAAUACGUAGGGUGCGAGCGUUAAUCGGAAUUACUGGGCGUAAAGCGUGCGCAGGCGGCUUUGUAAGACAGAUGUGAAAUCCCCGGGCUCAACCUGGGAACUGCAUUUGUGACUGCAAGGCUAGAGUGCGUCAGAGGGAGGUGGAAUUCCGCGUGUAGCAGUGAAAUGCGUAGAGAUGCGGAGGAACACCGAUGGCGAAGGCAGCCUCCUGGGAUGACACUGACGCUCAUGCACGAAAGC